AUUGAUUAUCACCAGUUCAUUAGGGAGCAGAAGAAUCAGACUUUCUAUGAUUCCAGUCUAAAACAAAGCUAUUUUCUUAGAUUUUUUACCGUAGAUUUUUCAGCUACUUCUUUGGAUUUUGUACCAUGGAUUUUGCAGCUACUUCCUUGGAUUUUGUACAGUGAGGCGAUUUUUUGACAAGUGCAGACUGAAACUCAAGUGCUAGAAGGUUUAUCAAUUUUUCAAUAGAAGUGUUAGGAAAUUGAUGAUUUUCUUGACAAAUGGAUUUACUUCCUGUUUUGGAACAUUGAUAAAUGUUGAAUUGUUUUGGCACAUUGAUAAAUGAUGAAUUGUAAAAAUAUUUUAACUCUUUUGAUAUGUUUAAUGUGAUAUGUUUUUUGAAUUGAA